rnacentral:misc_RNA from 1 species
GAUGAAGAACGCAGCGAAAUGCGAUACGUAAUGUGAAUUGCAGAAUUCAGUGAAUCAUCGAAUCUUUGAACGCAUAUUGCGCUCUUUGGUAUUCCGAAGAGCAUGCUUGUUUGAGUAUCAGUAAACACCUCAAAGCUUUUGGAUUUUUUAAUCGAAAAGCUUUGGACUUGAGCAAUCCCAACACCAAUCUUUUUGAGAUCGGUGGCGGGUUGCUUGAAAUGCAGGUGCAGCUGGACAUUCUCCUGAGCUAAAAGCAUAUUCAUUUAGUCGCGUCAAACGGAUUAUUACUUUUGCUGCAGCUAACAUAAAGGGAGUUUGACCGUAUUGGCUGACUGAUGCAGGAUUUCACAAGGGUCGGCAACGAUUCUUGUUAAACUCGAUCUCAAAUCAAGUAAGACUACCCGCUGAACUUAAGCAUAUCAAUAAGCGGAGGA